UACUUAACCCCAUGUGAUUCCAUGACACCCAGGUCUGCCUGAUGCCUUAAUACAGAGUCCUGCAGCCACUCUCAAGAUAAGACAAGCAGACACAGCUGGAGGGCACAACAACUGCAGCAUAUACAUGAGUCCAAACCAAAGGCGUAUCUUAAGAGUGAUUGAGGUUUGCAGCCGAAUUCAUCCAUAAUUUCAUAACAGCGUUGUAAACAUCAGGAAGAAGCAAACACAAGGUCCCAAAGAAGAGUGCCUAGAUCUGGAAGGUGAUUUGAAGCAGAAGGGUACAUGCUGCCUUGUAAGAAGCACUAUGGAAAGGCUGAAGUCUGGUAUUAACAUCUUUAAUCAUUCUUCUGAGGAAAUAUUCACAUUUAUUGCAUGACUUCUACUUGUUCUGUUUUUUUUCAAAAUCUAAUUUUGAAAAAAGGCAAACCAUUACAGAAUAGUAAAAAUAUUGCAAAAGAAAUAUAAGUGCGUAUUUUGUCUGCAUGUUUGUGUGUCUCCUCUAUCCCAGGUUCAUAUAUUAAAAUUCUAAUUCCCAAGGUGACAAUGUUAUGUGACUUUGAGAGGGGACCAAGAUAUGAGGCCUCAUAAUUGAUAUUAGUGCCCUUAGGAAAUAGUCCCUAGGGGGCUAAUGAUGUCCUUCCAUCAUGUGAAGGUACAGUUAGAAGUCUCCAUCUAUGAAGUAAAAUUCAGGUUCUCGCUAGAUGUUGAAUCUACCAGUAUCUUGCUUUUGAUGCUUAAGUUUCUCUGAAACUGUAAAAAAGUUCUGUUGUUUGUAAACCACCGGUUUAUAUUUUGUAAUAGCAAUGUGAACUAAGAGAGUGGUUUAGUGUGAACAGCGAGACUUUUUAUAUAUAUGAAUAGCAAGCUUUUUAUAUAUGUGAAAUCCAACAAUUACAUAAGAUUAUUAAAUUUCCCAAGAAGAGGCAUCCAUCUUUUUAACAAAUAUUUAUUAAUGAUAAAUAAUGAUUUAUUAUUUAUUUAACACCCAUUUCCUAGAUAUAUUGGGUAGAGAGCAAUAUGGACAUGAUCUUUGGGUCCUUAGGAGUUUAGAGUCUAAUGGAGAGAGACUGACAAUACAUAAAUUGAAAAAGAAUCAAUAUCAUAAAAAUGCCCAUACUAUUGAAAGCAAUUCACAGAUUCAAUGAGAUCCCAGUCAAGAUACUAUGUUCUCAAAUCUAGAGCAAAACGAUGCAGAAAUUCAUAUGAAAACACAAUAUAUUCAAAACAGCGAAAGCAAACUUAUGCAACAAAAACAAGCAUGGAAGCAUCAUAAUACCCAAAUUCAAGAUAUACUACAGGGAAGUUAUAAUCAAAACAGCCUGGAAGUGGCAUAAAGACAGACAUGUAGACCAAUGGAAUAGAAUAGAAACUCCAGAAAUCAAUCCACACAUCUACAAACUUGACCUUUACAAAGGAGCUAAAAUCAAUCCCUGGAGCACAGACUUCAACAAAUGGUGCUGGGAAAACUGGAUCUCAGCAUGCAGAAGUAUGAAACAAGACCCCUGCAUUACACCUUAAACAAAUAUCUACUCAAAAUCAAUCAAAAACCUAAAUCUACAAUCCAGUACCAUUAAAUGACUAGAUAACAUUGGAGAAACCCUGCAAGACUUGGCAUAGGCAAAGACUUGUUAGAAAAGACUCCAGAAACACAGGCAAUCAAAGCCAAAAUUGACAAAUUGUCUUACAUCAAGCGGAGAAGCUUCUGCACUGCAAAAGAAACACUCAGCGAAGUGAAGAGGCAACCAACAGCGUGAGAGAAAAUAUUAGCAAACUACGCAACUGUUAAAGGGUUAACAUCCAAAAUUUAUAAAGAGUUCAAGAAAUUUAACAACAACAAAACAAGCAAUCUACUUAAGAAAUGGGUAAUGGACUUCAACAGGCAGUUUUCAAGGGAGGAAAUUCAAAUGGCUAACAGACAUUUGAGAAAAUAUUCAGGAUCACUAACUAUCAGGGAAAUCCAAAUCAAAACCAUGAUGAGAUUUCACCUCACUCCAGUUAGAAUGGCUCUCAUACAGAAAUCAAUGAAUAACAAAUGGUGGUAAGCAUAUGAAGAAAAAGAUACCCUUAUCCAUUCUUGGAAGGAAUGUAAAAUGGUGAAGACACUGUGGAAGACAGUAUGGAGAUACCUUAUAAAUUUGAAUAUAGACCUACCAUAUAAUCCAGUCAACCCACCCCUGGGAAUUUAUCCAAACCAAAGACAUCAGCAUAUGAAAGAAUUAUCUGUACACCCAUGUUCAUUGAAGUUCAGUUCAUAAUAGCUAAAACAUGGAAUCAACCAAGAUAUCCAUCAGCUGAUGACUGGAUAAAGAAAUUAUGGUAUGUAUACACUAUGGAGUACUACUUAGCUGUAAAAAAUGAGAUUCUUUUUUUUUUUUAACAACAAAAUGGAUGUAACUGAGAACUUAGUGAAAUAAGCCAGCCUCAAAAUGAGAUGCACCAUUUGUUUUCCCUGAUCUAUGGUAACUAAUAGAGUACCUAAAAUGUAAUGUAUUGGAGUAAAAAGGACACUUUGAAAUGUGAUGAUUGUUUCCUGUUCUUGUCUCUACAGUUGAGGAACAGUGUUUUUUUCCUCACACUAUUUGUUGAACUCUUUACUUAGUGUAGGGUUAACUUUAUGAAUAUAAAGUAAACUGAAAAUAGGUCUUUGUAAAAAUUAAGAAAGAUAAUAGGAGUGGCAGGUGGGAGAAGGAUGGCAGUAUGG